rnacentral:rRNA from 1 species
UUGAACGUACCGAAAGAAGUAAGGAUCGGCUAACUCCGUGCCAGCAGCCGCGGUAAUACGGUAGGCAUAGCAGAGCUUUGUCCGGAUUUAUUGGGAAUAAAGGCGUCGCGUCGGCGGCUUAUUAAGUCAGGGGUGAAAGACCGGUUGGCUCAACCAUGGCACUGCCUUUGAUACUGAAUGAGCUUGAAUACAGCGUGAGGUAGGCGGAACUUUGUCAUGUAGCGGUGAAAUGCAUAGAUAUGUCACACGAACACCAAUUGCGGAAGGCAGCUUAGCUAAGUAUGCAACUGAUCGGUGAGGCAAGAAAGCGUGGGGAUCAAAGCAUGGAUUAGACUAUCCUUGGUACGUCCACUCCUAAACGAUGAAUACUCGAUGUGGG